CUCAGAGCACCACCUGGGGCCCAAAGGACUUUAGAAAUGCAUCUUUGCUCUUAAAUGAGGCCCAAUUCAGGCUGGAGUGCAGUGGUGUGAUCUCAGAUCAUUGCAACCUCUACCUCAUGGGUUCAAGAAAUUCUCCUGCCUCAGACUCCCGAAUAGCUGGGACUACAGGCAUGUGCCACGACGCCCAGAAGACCAUCUAUAUAUUAUUCCUGCUUUAGAAAUAUUGUUCUGGGUUCUUAAAUGAGAAUAUAUUUUAUCGAGACUUGAUUUGAGAAUUACAGAGGAAGAGAUGAAAAGCAAUACCCCUGCCUCAGCCGUGAAGCCUUCACUAUAGAAACAACACACGUGCCGAUGGUCCCCUGGAAUGGCCUCUCUGUUCAGGCCAUCACAGUCCAUUUGGUCCUGCCAACCUGCUGCCCAAGUCCAACAGAUGGAAGGAAGGAAGAGAAUACUGAGAUGCAGAUCUCAGAUUAACAACUUCUUGGCUAUUGGAAACCAGAAGAAAAGAGUCACGUAAAGAGGUUACUUGAGAGAAACAGCAACCUAAGUUAGAGGGGCAGAGCCAGCACAAAUACCACACCACAAGGAGGAACAAAUACCCCAACGACCUUCUUCUCUUUCUACCGCGUCUCAUGCCUGCUUUCCCCUUGGUGUAGUUCAUGCAGAUUGGCUUCUCAGGCGAGAGAACAGGGUGAGGAAAGCUGAAGAGUGAAUCUGGAGGCAAGCUAAAGCCAUCCACUUCUCAACAAUCUGCCAAUGUGCCAAUCUGCCUCUAUCUACCCCUCAUCCACCUGCUCCCCACCUCUUUGCUCUACGUAGUCAAGAAUGACUUAUUUCAGUGAGAGUAAGUCAGAAAUAAACUGGAAAGUAUUCAGCCCCCUCCAGUGUCAAGGGAUAUUUCUACCCCAUGGAAAAUUUAGCCUUACCCCUAUUCAUAUCUGAUUCUACAUUCUCCAGUAAUAAUUUAAAUCUACUUGAUGACAGAUAUUUCAAUCAAAAUAAAGAUAUCAUUUAUAUUAGCAUUUGCUUAAUGUUUUGUAUCAGUGGCCAUUGUAUUUGGUUGUAGGUAACAGAAACCCACAGCCAAAAUCCAGUGGUUUAAAUGUAUCAGACGUUUUGUUUUAUUAUGCGUCAAGAAUCCAGAGGUGGGCAGGGCAGAGAUAACUAAUAUAGUGGCUUAUAGCUGUCACAGGGAUCCUGUGUCUUUCCUUUUCUGUACUACAACCUUAGCAUGUUUCCAUCCUUGCAGUGGCGUUAUGGUUACAAGGUGGCUGCUGGAACCUCAGCCGGUAUACAUUAAGGCAAGAAGAAAGGAUAGGACAAGAAGAAAGUUUAUUUCAGCUGGAGUAGCCCAGAAUUUUGAAGCUUUUACAAGAGCUACAUGAGAAUGGAUCAACUGCAAGAUGUUUGGUAAGGAGGAUGUUGACACUGUAGGAGGAGGGGAAUGAAAGCAGGAGGAGGCAGAGAAAUACCUGGAACCUCCAGAGAGGGCCAGCAACAGCCUUGGCUGAUGCUUCCGGAAGCUUCUGAGAGACAGCAGCUCUUCAGAGUCAUCACUGUCAGGCUAAGAUGCCUGGGCUUUGUGGCCCCUCAUUGACCACUGGGUAUGGGCUACCCCAGAAAAAACAUGACCUUGGGCAAGGCGGCUUUCCGCAGCUGAGAUUAGCCAUCAAGGAGGUGACAGCUUCUUUAACAUGUGAACUGCAGGAGACACAAUUCAGCUCCUAACAGAAAAGAUGUGAUGAAGAUGAGGGGGGUCCUCCCAUUUCAUCAGAGAUCCUCAUCCCUGUGGGUUUAGUUUCAGGUGUUUUGAUGUUCCUUCAUUGGCUUCAAGAAAGUUGUACCCCACCCAUAGUAGCCUCGCCAUCACCAACCUAACCAUGAUGACCCAAGUAGGAAGUUCUGGAAGCUUGGGGCCUGGAGCCCAGACAGGAAACAGCUUUCCUCGGAACUACAUUCCAUCACAGUGUCCGUCCUCAUACUAACGCUAUGGAAGGUAUUAAGGAAUCACUGGAUGAUACAGCUCUCUUGGAGGGAACUGUAAUUAAAUUGUUCCUGGUAUUCAUGUAUCUUGUAUAUGUCAGGGUUAAAAGCUGGGCCUCAGAUUUAACACAUAUAGCUUCAAAUCUCAACUUUUAUACUUCU